rnacentral:lncRNA from 1 species
AGAAUGAUAUGGCUGUACCAAAUAAGAAAAUGUGUUUAAGGAAGAAACACCAACAUGUACAGGGCUUAUCAAAAAUAGUGAUGACGUACAUCUUGCCAAACCUAUUGCAACCUCCCCUUAGAUGUUAAUAUUAUUGCUGGAAGUUGGACUUUUCAUAGAACAUGUGAGAGAUUAGCAAGAACAUGUGAAAUGUUUUCAACUGGGAAGUCGGAUACAGAAGCAUCAUCCACAGUUUUUAUUGGGCCGAGUCAAAUAGGGGGCCUCUACCUGGUUGAAUUAUUAAGGGAUAAUUGAUCAUGUCUGUAACUUGCUCUCAAAUGGUUCAGCCAAAUGUCAGAAAUGUCAGAGAGACAGAGAGAAGGAGACAGGAGGAAGGGAGAGAGAAAGAGAAAAAGAGAAGAUAUAGUAAAGGUGGCAAAAUGAUGAAAAUUGGCAAAUGUACGUAAAGGCAUACAGAACUUCGAUGAACGAUUCUUGCAACCUUUAUAUAAUUCUGAAGGCUUUUAAAAAAAUGGCAAGCUUUCAAAUAAAAGCAAUUUAGGAAUUGUU